rnacentral:rRNA from 1 species
GAUGAACGCUGGCGGCGUGCUUAACACAUGCAAGUCGAACGGAAAGGCCCAAGCUUGCUUGGGUACUCGAGUGGCGAACGGGUGAGUAACACGUGGGUGAUCUGCCCUGCACUUCGGGAUAAGCCUGGGAAACUGGGUCUAAUACCGGAUAGGACCACAUUUUGGAUGGUGUGGUGGAAAGUUUUUCGGUGUGGGAUGAGCUCGCGGCCUAUCAGCUUGUUGGUGGGGUAAUGGCCUACCAAGGCGUCGACGGGUAGCCGGCCUGAGAGGGUGUACGGCCACAUUGGGACUGAGAUACGGCCCAGACUCCUACGGGAGGUAGCAGUGGGGAAUAUUGCACAAUGGGCGCAAGCCUGAUGCAGCGACGCCGCGUGGGGGAUGACGGCCUUCGGGUUGUAAACUCCUUUCGCUAGGGACGAAGCGCAAGUGACGGUACCUGGAGAAGAAGCACCGGCUAACUACGUG